AGUGCAAUUGCUGGAUUGUAUGGUAAAGAGUAUGUUUAGUUUUUUGAGAAACUGCCAAACUGCCUUCCAAAGUAGGUGUACCAUUUUGCAUUCCCACCAGCAAU
rnacentral:pre_miRNA from 1 species